GAGGAAAGACGAGAGAGGUCAGACGGAAGAACCAAGACAAAAGACUGUCCUGCGUGAAUUGUAUUCAAAACUGCAAUGAUACACAUUUGUUUGUUGAGCAUUAGUAUGUUUCACAGCUGGUUCAUAAUGCAGAGUACAGUGGGUAAAAGACAAAAAAAAAAACAAAAAACAGAAGUUUGAUCCACUCCUGAUGGCGUAAGUCGGUUAAUUUCAAUGAAAUUACGAGUCUUUGCUUCACUCUAUAUGGAGAGAGACGCCACGUCAAGCAACGACUCAAAGGAUGUCGCUUUAAAGCUGCAAAAAUGAUUUGCAUGUCGUCAAAUGAAGUCAGCCGCUGAUUUCCAAGUAAAACUUGACUUGAUGGAGAAACCUUUGUUUUCGCACAUCUCGGAAGUAAUUUUAACCAGAUUUUCUCUACAGAAACUUAGUAAAUCCUUUAGCUUUCUUGGCUGCUUCUUGGUGAUGUAAAAUUUCAACGUUUUCUACUGACUUUUUUCCAUGACCGAGCUAAAACUGCGCUGUGUUGCGACUCUUCUUUACACACUCCCCUGUUACUUGGACAGUGUGUUUUGGGAUGCUAGAAGACCCAUUUAUGUUUGUAGUUAUUGUGGCCACAGCUGCCUACAGAUUGUUAAUAAGCUCUUCCACUGUCUAUGGCCGCUUAUCCUUGAAGGGUUGAUGCCUACCUCCAGUGACCACUGGGUAAGAGGCACAUUCCUUAAUAUUUACUCAAAGUAUUGUUGUAGAAGAAGACAUUGCCGCUUCAUCAAUUAAUUUUUUUUCUUCUUCAGGAAUAGAUCAUUUGAAAUGAUGAUACGUUUUGGGUCAACGUCCUUAUUUUCCUG